rnacentral:rRNA from 1 species
AACGAACGCUGGCGGCAUGCUUAACACAUGCAAGUCGAACGAGACCUCCGGGUCUAGUGGCGCACGGGUGCGUAACGCGUGGGAAUCUGCCCUUAGGUACGGAAUAACUCAGAGAAAUUUGUGCUAAUACCGUAUGAUGUCGAAAGACCAAAGAUUUAUCGCCUAAGGAUGAGCCCGCGUAAGAUUAGCUUGUUGGUGAGGUAAAAGCUCACCAAGGCGACGAUCUUUAGCUGGUCUGAGAGGAUGAUCAGCCACACUGGGACUGAGACACAGCCCAGACUGCUACGGGAGGCAGCAGUGGGGAAUAUUGGACAAUGGGCGAAAGCCUGACCCAGCAAUGCAGCGUGAGUGAUGAAGGCCUUAGGGUUGUAAAGCUCUUUUACCAGGGAUGAUAAUGACAGUACCUGGAGAAUAAGCGCCGGCUAACUCCGUGCCAGCCGCCGCGGUAA